rnacentral:rRNA from 1 species
AUUGAACGCUGGCGGCAGGCCUAACACAUGCAAGUCGAGCGGAGCGGCGGAGGGGUGAGUAAUGCCUAUGAAUCUGCCUCGGACUGGGGGAUAACGUUCGGAAACGGGCGCUAAUGCCGCAUACUAUCAGAUUAAGCUAGGUCGGAUUAGUUAGUUGGUGGGGUAAGGGCCUACCAAGGCGACGAUCCCUAACUGGUCUGAGAGGAUGAUCAGUCACACUGGAACGGAGACACGGUCCAGACUCCUACGGGAGGCAGCAGUGGGGAAUAUUGGACAAUGGGCGAAAGCCUGAUCCAGCCAUGCCGCGUGUGUGAAGAAGGUCUUCGGAUUGUAAAGCACUUUAAGUUGGGAGGCGUUACCAACAGAAGAAGCACCGGCUAACUUCGUGCCAGCAGCCGCGGUAAUAC